UUCAAUACCUCACCGAUUCCUUUCCCAUCGAACUCUGUUUUCUUUCUUUCUUUUAAUCGUUGUUUUGGAUAUUCACUAAUUAGCCUGACUAUAUACAUACCAAACAUCAGGUAUGUCACUAAUUCACUUCCUUCCCUUCCCUUCGUCUCUCAGCUCCUUGCUCGUGGCGUUGAAGUGGUGGCGACAGGCGAUGGCGGCGGCGUUGUCGAUUGCGGUGAGGACAUCCCGUGGCAUCCCUCGAAGCACCAACACGACGCCACCUGGUCUACCAUCUCCAUAUGGGCGAGUUCUCUUGAUCCCCAGCGUACUCUCUCACCUCCUCCAAAUUCCUCGACCCCUAACUUCUCGAUCCCUACCAGGCUACCACGAUCUGAUCCGAAGGCCGAUGCAGCUCCGGGCUAUUGAUAAUGGAGGUUGAGGAUCCUUCCUCUCAGCACCCACUCAUGGCAGAAUCAGCAGCGUGCCACGCGGAUGGAACCCGGCCGAGAUCAUGGGAUGCUUCCACACAGGGCUCGCCAAGAUUGCAAUUCUGAACUUUUUUGUAAACAAAGUGAAGAGUGGGACAUGAUCUGUACUUGUGCUAAUAUAAAAUAUACAGUACUUGUGUAGGUGCAGGUUUUGUUUUAACAUUCCAAUUGUUGUUUAUCCUUUUGUCGCUGAAAAUUCUUUACUAAUUAUGACAUUCAUUUUAUUUCUUCUAGAUGUAUCUCGAUCCACUAUGUCUGAUCACAAGGUGACAAUGGCGGCAUAGCAGCCCGGAGGAGACGGCGGCGAGCCCCCCUCCUCCAACUGUAGCAAUUCACCAGGUGGCGGCACGAACAACCUUCAUCUCUAGAUGCUUCCCUGCACACCGAUGAGAUUCACGCUGAUGGUCUUGACUCCUAACCAAUGUCUUUUAGGCCUGAAGUCCCUGUAGUACCCAAGGUCGAGUGACCACUGCUGCGCCUCGCCGUGUCCUGACUCCUGACCAAUGUCCUUUAGCCUCCGGUCUCAGUUUCUUUAUGCAUAAUUUUUUUAAAGAAAUCAAAGAUCUUGUUAUGUAAUGUUUAGUAUCUCUUUGUACCUCUGAUUUAUGCACCAAACUAGAAGGGGGUCAAGAAGGCAUGGAUGUUCAAUAUUUUUUCCAAUAAUAUAUGGUGAAAAAACAAUUUGAUUUUUGUAUACUUGUGUCUUUCAUGUUCACUUGGUCCAUUAGUUUAAUUUUCUUGAACUUCUAUUUGGAAGGAGGCAAACUGAUCAGAUGUCACCAUCUCACAUCUCAGUGCCAGUCUAUUGUUACAUUGGGAAGUAUUUGUUUAAUCUACUGACACCUGCAUAUUUGAUAUGAAAUG
rnacentral:lncRNA from 1 species